ACGGGUGUAGCUCAACUGGCAGAGCACCAGCCUCCAAAUCUGGCAGAUGCGGGUUCGACUCCUGCUGCCCGUG
rnacentral:tRNA from 1 species